UUUAUUUGAGAGUUUGAUCCUGGCUCAGGAUGAACGCUGGCGGCGUGCCUAACACAUGCAAGUCGAACGGAAAUCUCUAUGAAGCAGCACUUGUGCUGCGGACUUUAGAUUUUAGUGGCGGACGGGUGAGUAACACGUGAGUAACCUGCCUUGGUCAGGGGGAUAACCACGGGAAACCGUGGCUAAUACCGCAUGAAAUAUCUUUACGGCAUCGUAUGGGAUAUCAAAGGAGCAAUCCGGACUGAGAUGGGCUCGCGUCCGAUUAGUUAGUUGGUGGGGUAACGGCCUACCAAGACCGCGAUCGGUAGCCGGACUGAGAGGUUGACCGGCCACAUUGGGACUGAGACACGGCCCAGACUCCUACGGGAGGCAGCAGUGGGGAAUAUUGGGCAAUGGGGGCAACCCUGACCCAGCGACGCCGCGUGAAGGAC
rnacentral:rRNA from 1 species